GGACUACCAGGGUAUCUAAUCCUGUUUGAUCCCCACGCUUUCGGGUCUGAGUGUCAGUGUUAGGCCAGUUACCCGCCUUCGCCUCCGGUAUUCCAGUUGAUAUCUACGUAUUUCACCACUACACCAACUAUUCUAGUAACCUCUCCUACACUCAAGCUUCGCAGUAUCAAAUGCACUUCCAGGGUUGAGCCCUGGGCUUUCACACCUGACUUACAAAGCCACCUACACCCGCUUUACGCCCAAUAAUUCCGAACAACGCUUGGAUCCCUCGUCUUACCGCGGCUGCUGGCAC
rnacentral:rRNA from 1 species